GGGUUUUGUUGGGAUAAGAAGAGGCAAAAGCUGAUUAUACCAUUUUUGGUCUCUGGUUCGAAGAAAUAGAAGCAGAAAAGAAUAAGUUGGUACGUGAUUAUUAUCUGAUAAUUGUUGUUGUUAAAAGUCUUCAUCUCCUUGUGAUUUCAAGGGGGUUAUCACACCAGUAUGGUGCGAGGAGCAGUGAGGAAGAUUUUCAUCGCAUCCUAGUGAUGCGAGGAACAUUUUAUCGCAUGUAAUAGGAUGCGACAAGAUCGGGCACUAGAAGAAGGUAAAGGAAAAGGAAAGAUGUGAAAUGAUUUGUUAUAACUUUACCUCUGUGGAUUUUUGGGAAAGUUGAAUAUGUGCAUAUACUUGAGAAUGUGUUAUGUACAAGUCAUGUACUAUAUGUGAACAUGUAGCUACUUUUAUAUGUAGCAAUUUGUACAUAUUGGAAUUGGUGUGUAAUAUUUGUAUUUCAUGUUAUAUAAAAUAUGCGUUUUA